GUGUUUAAUAGCUGCCUAAGUAACGGCGUGCCCUCUUUGGAGCAAAACUGAGGAGCAAAGAUUCCUAACUGGGGAGGUCCUGGAAGGACAUGUGAGGAAGUUACACUUUGCAACCCUAAACACCAGAAGGUCAGAAUUUGGUUGGCGAGGCAGAUGCCACAGGCUCCGGAUGGCUGUUAAAUCUGCCCAGCCCUGGCCCAGUUCUCGGACUGAAGACACAGACAGGGGCCCAGGAGGAAACGGCUGGGCCCAGACCACCUCGUGGGUGAUGCCUCCCCAAGAGAAGAUGUGGCACACAGGUCUUCUCCAGGGCCCCUCCCCAGACAACGGACCCCCCGCUGCCCAAGCCAGAAAGCCGGGUGUCGUCCUCAGAGUCCCGUCUUCCUCAGCCCCACCCCCUGCUGCUGCCCUUUCUACUCCCUAGAUCUGGCCUCUCCCUCCCUGCCCACUGCCUGGAAUGGUGCUCCAGGGCCUUCACUUGCCUGUACAGGGCCCCCCAGGACUGGGUGGGGGGCUGCUUCUCUCUCCUUCCUUCCCACCUUUCACUCUCAGCUCCAACCCCAAACCACACUGUGGUCGCCUGGCUAUGCCGUACCCUCACACACGCUGUUCCUCUGCCUGGACACCCGGCCUCCGCUUUUCCAUGCAGUGAACUCCUACUCACCCCUCAGGGGCCCCUCCUCUAGCAAGUCUUUCCUCUUCUAGACUCCCUUUCCCCUGGAUCCCAGGGCCUAAGUGCCCUGCCCUGGGCCUCCUUAGGAAAGAAGGAGGGUUGUAUCUACAGCCUCUGUGCCUUUCACAUCUUCUCUUCAACAUGUCUGUGGGAACUGAAGCAACCAGCUCAACUGAUGAAUCUUAGCAGGAAACUAUCUCACCAAAAGAACUUGGCCUCCACUCCAUCUGUGCCCACGCCACCCCCACCCCCAGAGACCAGCCACUCUUGGCCACAUUCCCCAGGGCCAGGCCUGCUGCAGCACCUGCUGUGUAGCAACUCUGGUCCAGCCAUCCUUUCCAGGGUGGUGGGAACCCAGCCCUGCCCUGGAAGAAGCAGCCCUUUCCCCUGUUGCAGGAUCCAGGCAAGUGCUGGGGCAUCCAGGUCAGCCAGGCCAGCAGGGAAAGGGGCUGGAGGAUGCGCAGCUCUGCCGAGGACGGUGUUCAGUAUGGACAGAGCUGCCCAAGGCAGUGAAAGGGGGCACCCCAUGCCCAGAGGUGUGCCUGUCCUGCCCCAUACACCAGAAACGCAGUAAGCAUGCAUGCCCUCGAUAGGAGUUGGAUUUGAAGAACUGCCAGCUCCCUUCCAACUCACGAGUUGAUUACCUGUUCAUUCAUCAACAAGGAGGUGCUCAGCCCUGUUGUGAUAGAUCAGAAGUUGGACCUGGUGGCUGGGGAAACAGAGGUGGACCAGGGACAGUGCUGCCCUCCAGGAGCUCCCAGCCCAUGGACUAACAGACCCAGAAAUAAACGAUCUGUCUAGAACGCUAAGCUCCAUCUUGUUCACCACUGUACCCCACAAUACUAGGCACAAGGGCUGGCAUACAGUAGGUGCUCAACAAAGGUCUGCUGAAUGACUAAGUGCUGUGAUCGAGGCCCCACCAGGGGCUGAGGAGCCCCAACAGUAUGUGGAGGAAGGAAGGUGAGGAGAGACCUCCUGGAGGUAAGGUCCCCAGGCUGAGCCCUUGGCAUUCCCAGCUAAUGGAUCUGCUGGUCCAGGGCCAGCCAGGAGGCAAGGAAAGCAGGGUGCAGCCCCGAAGACACAGGUGGGCUGAGCAACAUGACUGGGAUUCUGUGGAGGGUGCUGGGAGACCCUGGGGUGCGGGGCCAAGGAGCAAUGGGACCAGGUUUGUCUUGUGGAACAAGGAUGGGCUGCAACAUGUGGGAGACUCUGGGGCUGGGGACAAGGACAGCCCUGAGGGGAUGCAGUGGGUUUGGCUGCAUGUGGCAGGCCCAGAAUGACAGUGGUUUAAAAAAUAAGUUUACCUCUCACGGAGAAGUUUGAGCUGAAAGGUGCCCUCUGCUCCCCCAGGUCACAAGGGCCUGGCCUCGUUCCUGUUUCGGGGACUUCCCAGAGCGGGGCUCCUCCUGGGUGGGUAAUCUGCUCCUACCCCAUUGGACAGACAGAGUCACAUGGCCACAUCUAGCUGUAAGGGAUGCUGGGAAAGGAAUCUGCCAGGGCAGCCAGGUUCUGAGAGGAAUUUUGUUGUUAGGGAAGGCGAGAGAGAGGCUGUUGAGGGACAACUGUCAGAGGCUGUAUCAUGGGCACUGAUUAGGGAGCACCUCGUGCUUUCCCUCUGGAGGGGAAGCAUGGGGCCUGGGCCGAGACUGGCCAGGAUGGAAGGCCUCUAGAAGGUCCCUGAGUGGGGCUGGGGUGUGGUGGGGCUGCCCAUGAGAUGAGGAGCGCCAGAGCUGUGCAGGCAGCGUGGGAUUUGGCAGAGGGAGGGCUGCGGGUUGCAGAGGUGAGUUGGGCCUUUUUGAGAGCGAACUGCCUAGGGAACAGCCCUUGGAGGUGUCCAGGUGAGGCUGAGGUGUGGGACCCACCUGCAGGCAGAGGGCUGUGCUAAGGGUGGCUGGGCCAGGAAAGGCUGGAGAGAGAGGGGACCCUCCGGGGUUCACAAGAAGGAGGGUAAAGUGCAAAGGGGCCUCCCGUAGCUCCAAGGAAGAGGCUGGGACCACUGCGAGAACGGGGAGGGAAACCGUCCCUGAAG
rnacentral:lncRNA from 1 species